rnacentral:rRNA from 1 species
AGGACGAACGCUGGCGGCGUGCUUAACACAUGCAAGUCGAGCGGUAAGGCCUUUCGGGGUACACGAGCGGCGAACGGGUGAGUAACACGUGGGUGAUCUGCCCUGCACUCUGGGAUAAGCCUGGGAAACUGGGUCUAAUACCGGAUAUGACCUGCUCUCGCAUGGGGGUGGUGGAAAGAUUUUAUCGGUGCGAGGAUGGGCCCGCGGCCUAUCAGCUUUGUUGGUGGGUAAUGGCCUACGAAGGCCGACGACGGGUA